rnacentral:snRNA from 1 species
GUGCUCGCUUCGGCAACACAGAUACUAAAAUUGGAAUGAUACAGAGAAGAUUAGCAUGGCCCCUGCGCAAGGAUGACACGCAAAUAAUUUACCUCUUCCAAACCUGC